GUGGGGAUAGAUCCCGGGGGGCCAGUUCCGCAGGGAACCUCGAGACUAAAUUGCUGCCCCUGGUUAAGGGGGGGGUGUGUGGAUGCCCACCUCACUGCCUUUGAGCAGGCUGGCGAUUUGAACCAAGGGGACCCUGCGGAAAAGCCCCGGUGUCUACCUCCCUUGCUGGGUCCCAACGCCAUAGACUCCGUCGGCCAGAUAGUUGGGGAUGUGGACAGGCUCCCACUCCUGACCCCAACCUAUAUGUCUGUGUGGAGUUUCCUGGGGCCAGGCCCCCCGGACCUCCAGUGGGAGCAGAAGGUGAUGGUCAAUGGGGAGACAUUCUUGGGGUGGCCAAAGGGCAUGGGCUGCAUAAACCUUCCCACAUGCGGCCUGCGAGUGCUAUCGACCACCCCUGACCUAAGGGAGGGCGUGAAACUGGAAGGGCCUGGUGUAACUCCUACCAAGGAAUGGGAGAGAUGCUGGGGCAUCCAUGGGAACGUUGGUGGCUUCGAACUUCCCCAGGUCACCGGCUAAAGUGACCCCGCUCAGUUCGAUCUCGAAGGGGGGAGAGAUGUGACGAAGUGGGACUGUUCUUAAUGUUUCCUCUGAAUAGUGUGGGGGUGCCUCAGUUUCCCCUAUGCAGUUCUUAAGUAUCUAGGGGGUGGAGUAAGGGUGUAUGAUCAUUGCAGAGCCCUAGAGGGCAGGUGUGUGCAGGAGUCUGGACACAGAGAAUGGCCAACACCCUGUUUCCUGGCAACUGAUGGCCUGGGCCCUUCCCCCCCUGCAAGGUGAGAGCUGAAGGGUUGGAGAACAAAGGAAUCAGGUGACCACCUGGCCCGGGAAAGGAACAAAGCCCAGAGGAGGAGGGGCUGGAGGGGAGUUUCAGUUUGGGGCUGGCUGGGACAUGGAGUGAAGUGCAGACGUGGUUGUCUGGCUCACUGCCCCCCAAAAUGGACCCAGCUGAGGGGUCCCGUUCUCUGCACCUGCAAGCUCUGUUUUAGACCAUGUUCCUGUCAUCUAAUAAACCUUCUGUGUUACUGGC